rnacentral:tRNA from 1 species
GGUUGUAUAGUGUAGUGGCUAGCACUCAGGAUUCUGACUUCAGAACAUUCCUGCAACCCCGGUUCGAUCCCGGGUACGACCU